CUCAAUCUGCGGCCAUCCAGCUGUUGCUAAACUACAACUCACAUCAUUCCCGGACAACCCAUCAAUCAGCCUACACAAGGGCAUGGUGGGAGUUGUAGUUUUCCAACAGCUGGAGGGACGCAGGUUGAGCAUCCCUGUCUUACAUGCAGAUGAG